GUGAAGAACGUAGCGAAAUGCGAUAAGUAAUGUGAAUUGCAGAAUUCAGUGAAUCAUCGAAUCUUUGAACGCACAUUGCGCCCAUUAGCAUUCUAGUGGGCAUGCCUGUUCGAGCGUCAUUUCAACCCUUAAGCCCUGUUGCUUAGCGUUGGGAGCCUACAGUACUGUAGCUCCCCAAAGUUAGUGGCGGAGUCGGUUUCACACUCUAGACGUAGUAAUUUUUUCUCGUCUGUAGUUGAGCCGGUCCCCUGCCGUAAAACACCCAAUUUAUCAAGGUUGACCUCGGAUCAGGUAGGAAUACCCGCUGAACUUAAGCAUAUCAAUAAGCGGAGGA
rnacentral:misc_RNA from 1 species